rnacentral:rRNA from 1 species
UACGGAGGGUGCAAGCGUUGUUCGGAAUUAUUGGGCGUAAAGCGCGUGUAGGCGGUUGCCUAAGUCUGGUGUGAAAUCCCGGAGCUUAACUCCGGAAGUGCACUGGAUACUGGGCAGCUAGAGGACGAGAGAGGAGAUUGGAAUUCCUGGUGUAGGGGUGAAAUCCGUAGAUAUCAGGAGGAACACCGGUGGCGAAGGCGGAUCUCUGGCUCGUUUCUGACGCUCAGACGCGAAAGCGUGGGGAGCAAACAGG